AUUGAACGCUGGCGGCAGGCCUAACACAUGCAAGUCGAACGAGUGGCGGACGGGUGAGUAAUGCUUGGGAAUCUGCCCGAUGGAGGGGGAUAACUACUGGAAACUGUAGCUAAUACCGCAUACCAUCAGAUGUGCCCAGGUGGGAUUAGCUGGUAGGUGGGGUAACGGCUCACCUAGGCGACGAUCCCUAGCUGGUCUGAGAGGAUGACCAGCCACACUGGAACUGAGACACGGCCCAGACGCCUACGGGAGGCAGCAGUGGGGAAUAUUGCGCAAUGGGGGCAAGCCUGACGCAGCCAUGCCGCGUGUGUGAAGAAGGCCUUCGGGUUGUAAAGCACUUUCAGCGGGGAGGCGUUACCCACAGAAGAAGCACCGGCUAACUCCGUGCCAGCAGCCGCGGUAAUUC
rnacentral:rRNA from 1 species